GGCUGUCGUCAGCUCGUGUCGUGAGAUGUUGGGUUAAGUCCCGUAACGAGCGCAACCCUUGUCCUUAGUUACCAGCACGUUAUGGUGGGCACUCUAAGGAGACUGCCGGUGACAAACCGGAGGAAGGUGGGGAUGACGUCAAGUCAUCAUGGCCCUUACGGCCUGGGCUACACAACGUGCUACAAUGGUCGGUACAAAGGGUUGCCAAGCCGCGAGGUGGAGCUAAUCCCAAUAAAACCGAUCGUAGUCCGGAUCGGCAGUCUGCAACCUCGACUGCGUGAAGUCGGAAUCGCUAGUAAUCGUGAAUCAGAAUGUCACGGUGAAUACGUUCCCGGGCCUU
rnacentral:rRNA from 1 species